rnacentral:rRNA from 1 species
CCUAGGGCGGCAGCAGUGGGGAAUAUUGCGCAAUGGGCGAAAGCCUGACGCAGCGACGCCGCGUGAGGGAUGAAGGUCUUCGGAUCGUAAACCUCUGUCAGCAGGGAAGAACGGUCACUGUGCUAAUCAGCAGUGAAUUGACGGUACCUGCAAAGGAAGCACCGGCUAACUCCGUGCCAGCAGGCGCGGUAAUACUGUGGGUGCGAGCGUUAAUCGGAAUUACUGGGCGUAAAGCGCUCGUAGGCGGUAUGUCAAGUCAAGGGUGAAAUCCCCGCGCUCAACGUGGGAACUGCCUUUGAUACUAGCAAACUAGAGUGAGUGAGAGGAUAGUGGAAGUCCAGGUGAAGGAGUGAAAUGCGUAGAUAUCUGGAGGAACAUCAGUGGCGAAGGCGACUAUCUGGGACAUAACUGACGCUGAGGAGCGAAAGCGUGGGUAGCAAACAGGAUUAGAUACCCGAGUAGUC